rnacentral:rRNA from 1 species
AACCAACUGGGAUUACCUUAGUAACGGCGAGUGAAGCGGUAAAAGCUCAAAUUUGAAAUCUGGUACUUUCAGUGCCCGAGUUGUAAUUUGUAGAAUUUGUCUUUGAUUAGGUCCUUGUCUAUGUUCCUUGGAACAGGACGUCAUAGAGGGUGAGAAUCCCGUUUGGCGAGGAUACCUUUUCUCUGUAAGACUUUUUCGAAGAGUCGAGUUGUUUGGGAAUGCAGCUCAAAGUGGGUGGUAAAUUCCAUCUAAAGCUAAAUAUUGGCGAGAGACCGAUAGCGAACAAGUACAGUGAUGGAAAGAUGAAAAGAACUUUGAAAAGAGAGUGAAAAAGUACGUGAAAUUGUUGAAAGGAAGGGCAUUUGAUCAGACAUGGUGUUUUUGCAUGCACUCGCCUCUCGUGGGCUUGGGCCUCUCAAAAAUUUCACUGGGCCAACAUCAAUUCUGGCAGCAGGAUAAAUCAUUAAGAAUGUAGCUACUUCGGUAUGUUAUAGCUUUUUGGAAUACUGUUAGCCGGGAUU